rnacentral:piRNA from 1 species
UAGAAAGGAUGAACUUUGUGAAUAGAAUCA